AUCGCUUCUCGGCCUUUUGGCUAAGAUCAAGUGUAGUCUUAGUGCUCUAUCUAAUUUUCCAAAUUUUUAGCCAAAUUUUUGUUUAUAAGGCCUGAGUUAUAUAUUAAAUUGUUUGUAAAAGUCUCGUGAACCUGU
rnacentral:snRNA from 1 species